rnacentral:rRNA from 1 species
AUGAACGCUGGAGGCGUGCCUAAUACAUGCAAGUCGCGCGAACAGACGAGGAGCUUGCUCCUCUGACGUUAGCGGCGGACGGGUGAGUAACACGUGGAUAACCUACCUAUAAGACUGGGAUAACUUCGGGAAACCGGAUCUAAUACCGGAUAAUAUAUUGAACCGCAUGGUUCAAUAGUGAAAGACGGUUUUGCUGUCACUUAUAGAUGGAUCCGCGCCGCAUUAGCUAGUUGGUAAGGUAACGGCUUACCAAGGCAACGAUGCGUAGCCGACCUGAGAGGGUGAUCGGCCACACUGGAACUGAGACACGGUCCAGACUCCGACGGGAGGCAGCAGUAGGGAAUCUUCCGAAAUGGGCGAAAGACUGACGGAGCAACGCAGCGUGAGUGAUGAAGGUCUUCGGAUCGUAAAACGCUGUUAGUAGGGAAGAACAAAUGUGUAAGUAACUAUGCACGUCUUGACGGUACCUAAUCAGAAAGCAACGGCUAACUACGUG